AUGACGACCUCCAUCAGACAGAUCCUGUCACAGAACACAGGCGGCGUGAAGACAUCUGGUGGAGACAUCCAAGGAGACGUUUUCGGCGGUCUCCGGUUCGGGUGCUUAUACAGGAAUCAAGAGUCGCAACGUCCCCCCCUGCUCCCCUUUCAAAUGCCACCGGCACCUUGCCCUCUCAGACAUGCAGAGGGGUCCGAGUGGAAAUACCAACGGGAAAGACGGAGGAGGGGACGGUCCGGACAGGUGGGCAACGAGACCCGGCCAGGCAGCAUCAAUCAGAGGGGACAAAUGAAAGGGACGACGUUUUCCCCCGCAGAACGUACAGAUGUCCCUCAGGCGUGCGGGUCGCGGGCGUCUCUGGUUGGACUUCCUCGCUCCCUCGGGUCUUCCUGGCCAUCACAGCGGCGGUGUCAAUUUAGCGCCGGGUUUAAGGUUACUUAGAUCCCAACUGGAUUUCUUAAGCUGAGGCUUAAUGGCAGCUAAUGUGGAGGAAUUAGGAAGGACGUGCAGGGUCAGGGUAUUUCCAGCACAACCACACAACUUGUAGCAGAAACAAGGCGGGGUCUGUGUUAUUUCUGGUAUCCUGCACCACCAGUCUGGUCCUCAGGUGAACAUCAUCUGCUGCUCUGAGAAGACAGCGGGCGAAAGGCUUGAUUUUACCGAAGCCCAGACCUCCGGAGGCUCCAGCCUUCACAGCAGAAAAGACCUCUGACCAGCAGCUUCAUGCAUUUUUACAAGCUGACUUCAUAUCUCUGCUAUUGGCAGGAAAAGUCAAUAUCGUCUGAAAAAUUCAUGGACCUUGACCAUAUGAGGAAUGCGGAGCAGAUGCAUGGAAAAUAAAGGCAGCAGCCUGGACA
rnacentral:lncRNA from 1 species